rnacentral:rRNA from 1 species
AGAGGGUGCAAGCGUUAAUCGGAGUUACUGGGCGUAAAGCGUGCGUAGGCGGAUAUUCAAGUCGGGUGUGAAAGCCCCGGGCUUAACCUGGGAACUGCAUUCGAUACUGGGUAUCUAGAGUAUGAUAGAGGAAAGUGGAAUUUCCGGUGUAGCGGUGAAAUGCGUAGAUAUCGGAAAGAACACCAGCGGCGAAGGCGACUUUCUGGAUCAAUACUGACGCUGAGGUACGAAAGCGUGGGGAGCAAACAGGGAUUAGAGACCCUGGUAGUCCACGCCGUAAACGAUGAGAACUAGGCGUUAAUUCCCGCUAAGGCGGGACUAGUGCCAAAGCUAACGCGUUAAGUUCUCCGCCUGGGGAGUACGAUCGCAAGAUUA